CAAAAAGGAAAAAAAAAAAAAAAAAAAAAAAAAAAAAAAAAAAAAAAAA
rnacentral:ribozyme from 13 species